AUUGAACGCUGGCGGCAUGCUUUACACAUGCAAGCCGAACGGUAACAGGCCGCAAGGUGCUGACGAGUGGCGAACGGGUGAGUAAUGCAUCGGAACGUGCCCAGUCGUGGGGGAUAACGCAGCGAAAGCUGCGCUAAUACCGCAUACGAUCUAUGGAUGAAAGCGGGGGACCGUAAGGCCUCGCGCGAUUGGAGCGGCCGAUGUCAGAUUAGGUAGUUGGUGGGGUAAAGGCUCACCAAGCCAGCGAUCUGUAGCUGGUCUGAGAGGACGACCAGCCACACUGGGACUGAGACACGGCCCAGACUCCUACGGGAGGCAGCAGUGGGGAAUUUUGGACAAUGGGCGCAAGCCUGAUCCAGCAAUGCCGCGUGCAGGAAGAAGGCCUUCGGGUUGUAAACUGCUUUUGUACGGAACGAAACGGUCCUGGUUAAUACCUGGGGCUAAUGACGGUACCGUAAGAAUAAGCACCGGCUAACUACGUGCCAGCAGCCGCAGUAACAC
rnacentral:rRNA from 1 species